UGAGGAAUAUUGGUCAAUGGACGCAAGUCUGAACCAGCCAAGUAGCGUGCAGGAUGACGGCCCUAUGGGUUGUAAACUGCUUUUAUAUGGGAAUAAAGUGAGGGACGUGUCCCUUAUUGCAUGUACCAUACGAAUAAGGACCGGCUAAUUCCGUGCCAGCAGCCGCGGUAAUACGGAAGGUCCAGGCGUUAUCCGGAUUUAUUGGGUUUAAAGGGAGCGUAGGCUGUUUGUUAAGCGUGUUGUGAAAUGUAAGAGCUCAACUUUUAGAUUGCAGCGCGAACUGGCAGACUUGAGUGCGCACAACGUAGGCGGAAUUCAUGGUGUAGCGAUGAAAUGCUUAGAUAUCAUGACGAACUCCGAUUGCGAAGGCAGCUUACGGGAGCGCAACUGACGCUAAAGCUCGAAGGUGCGGGUAUCGAACAGG
rnacentral:rRNA from 1 species